rnacentral:rRNA from 1 species
GAUUAACGCUAGCGGCAGGCCUAAUACAUGCAAGUCGAGGGGCAGCAGGGUGUAGCAAUACAUCGCUGGCGACCGGCGCACGGGUGCGUAACACGUAUGCAACCUACCUUUAACUGGGGAAUAGCCCUCCGAAAGGAGGAUUAACACCGCAUAACAUCACGAGACGGCAUCGCCUUGUGAUCAAACCUCCGGGGGUUAAAGAUGGGCAUGCGUCCGAUUAGCUAGUUGGCGGGGUAACGGCCCACCAAGGCGACGAUCGGUAGGGGGUCUGAGAGGAUGAUCCCCCACACUGGUACUGAGACACGGACCAGACUCCUACGGGAGGCAGCAGUAAGGAAUAUUGGACAAUAGGUCGCAAGACUGAUCCAGCCAUGCCGCGUGCAGGAUGAACGAUCUAUGAUCUGUAAACUGCUUUUGUUCGGGAAUAAACCCCUUCACGUGUGGAGGGCUGAAUGUACCGAAAGAAUAAGGGUCGGCUAACUUCGUGCCAGCAGCCGAC